UUUUUACUCCCUUCGUCCAGAAUUAGUUGACUCAGACUUGUCUAGAUAUGGAUGUACCUAGACAUGUUUUAGUGUUACAUAUAUUCAUAUCUAGAUGAAUCUAAGUCUACUAAUUUGGGAUGUAGGUUGUAUUAA
rnacentral:pre_miRNA from 1 species